AGAGUGAGUAAGAACAAAAAACUCUCUUGGCCAAUAUGAAGGUGGUCUCAGCAUUUUCUGUUCCAGAACCAAAGACUAUUCUACUUCGCAGAUGGAAUUCAAAUACCUGCGGUGUUCAAGACAGCCCCAUGGGGAUUAUGGGUGGAUGUCAGAACUAUACCUGGAUUCAGACAUGUGACACUUUCGGGCUGAAGCACUUAAGAGCCAGUGUGCCCUGUCCAUUUCUGUCUUCUGUCCUGUGGAUUUGGAAGCAUGUGUUGACUGAACAAUGUCUUAUGGUGAAGGAAGCCUAAACCCCCAAGUUAUUGGAUGGAGGAGAGCCCAUGCUGACCCGUAAAGGACUUCAUGGUCUCGCUCUGUCGCCCAGGCUGGAGUGCAGGCGUGCUGUCUUGGCUCACUGCAACUUCUGCCUCUCGAGUUCAAGAGAUCCUCAUACCUCAGCCUCCUGAGUAGCCGGGACUACAGGCAUGCACCACCACAUCCGGGGUGGGGACUCUCGUGGAAAGGCUAGAUGAUGGAGUCACGUGCUCCCUUCCCGUUCACUAGCUGCUGAUUGGCCAACUGCUCCUGCCAGCUGUCCCUGCACUCCAGCUUCCUACCAUAUGCUC
rnacentral:antisense_RNA from 1 species